rnacentral:rRNA from 1 species
UAUGUAGGGUGCAAGCGUUAAUCGGAAUUACUGGGCGUAAAGCGUGCGCAGGCGGUUAUGCAAGACAGAGGUGAAAUCCCCGGGCUCAACCUGGGAACUGCCUUUGUGACUGCAUAGCUAGAGUACGGUAGAGGGGGAUGGAAUUCCGCGUGUAGCAGUGAAAUGCGUAGAUAUGCGGAGGAACACCGAUGGCGAAGGCAAUCCCCUGGACCUGUACUGACGCUCAUGCACGAAAGCGUGGGGAGCAAACAGG